rnacentral:rRNA from 1 species
AUGCGCCAGCGGAGGUCACCCCCACAGCACCGCGUUUUCGCAGUCUCCCCCCCUCGGAAACGUCUGCCCGCUCGCUCGCUCGCUUACCCAGCAAGCUUUCCCCACCUUCCCCCGCCCCGUCCCCUCUCCUCCUGGCGGUGGCGACGCGAUCACGACACGGAGACUCGUAGCCCCUUGCUGAGCCGGGGGUUGCGAGUCGCGGAGAUGAAGAACCUGUUCAAGAGCAAGAUCAAGUGGCAGCACCGGUCCAACGACCCCGCCUCCUCGUCGCAGCCGCAGUCGUCGUCGACCUCGCCGGCGAGCUCCCCGUCGGGUACGGCGCCGGCGCCCGCGCUGUCCUCCGCCGCGGCGAUGCCGACGGCCUCCGCCCCGCCCCCUUCCGCCCCGGUGGCGACGACGCCCACGGCGGGGGUUGGUGGGGGAGGGGGAGGCGGAGCGGGUGGGGACGACUACAUGUACUCGGAGGAGGAGUUCCAGAUGCAGCUGGCCAUGGCGCUGUCGGCGUCCAACAGCGACUGCGCGGGGGACCGGGACAGGGACCAGAUCAGGGACGCCAAGCUCAUGAGCCUCGGCGGGGGGGACCGCUUCGCCGCCGGCCGGGACGACGGCCACACCGCCGACUCUCUCUCCCGCCGCUACUGGGACUACAACUGCCUCGAUUAUCAUGAGAAAGUUGUCGAUGGUUUCUACGACAUAUUUGACCCCUCCAUGGAGUCCUCUAGGCAGGGGAAGAUGCCAUCACUAGAAGACCUUCAAACAGGCAUCGGGGACCUGGGCUUUGAGGUCAUCGUAAUCAACCGUGCAGUUGAUACUGCCUUGCAGGAGAUGGAGCAAGUGGCGCAAUGCAUCUUGUUGGAUUUCCCUGUUGCAAAUAUUACACUCCUAGUACAAAGGAUAGCUGAUCUUGUUACAGAUAAUCUAGGUGGACCUGUGAAAGAUGCAAAUGCUAUGCUUGCAAGGUGGUCGGAGACAAGUACUCAGCUGAGAACCUCACUACAUACUAGCUUGCUGCCAAUUGGCUGCAUUAAAUUAGGGUUGUCUCGUCACCGUGCCCUACUUUUCAAGAUUCUUGCUGAUAGUGUUGGCAUUCCAUGCAAACUUGUCAAAGGGAGUAAUUACACUGGUGAUGAGGAUGAUGCUGUUAACAUAAUAAAGGUGGACAAAGAAAGGGAGUUUUUGGUAGAUCUGAUGGCUGCUCCUGGUGCUCUUAUUCCAGCAGAUGUCUUAAGUUGGAAGGGCAGUUCGUCAAAUUCUAACCAUAAACUUGGCCAGAAACCUGGACUGAAUCAAAUGGCUGGGUCAUCAAGUACCAUUUAUCCUACUCUGGGUGCCAAUGCAUUGCCACUUGAACAUAAAGGUAACCAACUACCUUUGUUAAACAGUGGUGAUUGGAUAUCGGCCAGUCAAUCUGGAUACGAGAAAGAGGCGGCCAUAACACACUCACAAACCUCUUCCAGUGGUACACCAUCUGUUACUGCUGCAGAUGUUUUUGAUGGUUCUUGGACAUUAGUUCCUCAUACGCAAUCGGACGAGCCGUCGACUUCUGCUGGUACAUCGUCACAGCAUAAAGUUGUACCCCCAGGUGGAGAACAUCCUGGGGCCGGGAAUAUAAAACUAAGCCCAGGUCACCAGGAAAAUACAGAGUCCAGUAACCUAUUUGCUGAGCUUAAUCCUUUUGGGCGUAUUGAGCCAAAGAAAGCUUCAGUACCAUUCAAUGGGCCAGAUAAUAGAAACAACGAGUUACAAAGGCGUAGAGAAAAUGUAGUCCCUAGCACUGGAAGGCCACAGCAAAGAUUGGUUAUGAAAAACUGGUCCCCUUACAAUGAUGUUUCCAACAACAAGCAGUACAACUAUGUUCAGGACUCAUUUGCACGUAGAAAUGUUGGUGAUAAUGUUGUAUCAUCGCCGCAGGUGCCACGAUCUGCUGCAAAUAAUAUUAAUCUUAAUAUUGGAGCACGCAAUGAUGGAUCACCAGUGUCAGCUCACAAUAAUGACAGUUUUAUGGCUGGUUCCUCUGCCAUGAAGAUGCCUUCUGUAGCUGAUAUUGGGAAGGCCGCUGAAAUGGCUAUGCGUGGUGAUUUGAGCAAAGGUACUACAGGUUCUAGACUGGAGGAUCAACCACCAUUUGGAAGACACAAAUGGGGUGAUUCUACUGAACGAAGGGUUCCGACUAAUUCAGUUCAGAACCAAGCAAAAGAACGUGAAACUAACUUCGACGGAAAGCAAGACCAUAAGAAGUUGCCUCCUGAUCCAAAGAAAUCUCCACUUGACAGAUUCAUGGACGUGUCGAUGCCAUCAAGAAAUUCAGAAUCUGUUUCACCAUCCUCUGCCAGGUCACACAGGCUUGAUUGCGUGUUCGAUGAUGUUUCUGAGUGUGAAAUUCUCUGGGAAGAUCUUGUGAUUGGUGAACGGAUUGGCUUAGGUUCAUAUGGUGAGGUAUACCGUGCUGAUUGGAAUGGAACAGAAGUAGCUGUGAAGAAAUUCUUGGAUCAAGAUUUCUAUGGCGAUGCUUUGGAUGAAUUUCGAAGUGAAGUGCGGAUUAUGCGUCGACUGCGUCAUCCAAAUAUCGUUCUCUUUAUGGGUGCUGUUACACGCCCUCCAAACUUAUCUAUUGUAUCUGAGUAUCUUCCAAGGGGAAGUUUAUAUAAGAUCCUUCACCGUCCUGGCUGCCAAAUUGACGAGAAGCGGAGGAUUAAGAUGGCCAUUGAUGUGGCCAAGGGCAUGAAUUGCCUGCACACUAGUGUACCAACAAUUGUUCACCGGGAUCUUAAAUCACCUAACUUGCUGGUCGACAAUAAUUGGAAUGUCAAGGUUUGUGAUUUUGGUCUUUCACGCUUGAAGCACAGCACAUUUUUAUCAUCCAAAUCAACUGCUGGAACUCCUGAGUGGAUGGCACCUGAGGUCUUGCGGAAUGAGCAGUCAAAUGAAAAGUGCGAUGUCUACAGCUUUGGCGUCAUCUUGUGGGAGCUGGCAACACUAAGAAUGCCGUGGGGUGGGAUGAACCCGAUGCAAGUCGUGGGAGCGGUUGGCUUCCAGGAUCGAAGGCUUGAUAUCCCCAAGGAAAUUGAUCCUCUAGUCGCUAGGAUCAUAUGGGAGUGCUGGCAGAAGGAUCCGAAUCUGCGCCCUUCGUUUGCGCAGUUAACAACUGCUCUGAAGACGGUACAAAGGCUUGUCAGCCCUUCUCCGGAGACGCAGAGCCCCCCUGUGCCCCAAGAGAUCUGGGUGAACUCCUCUACCCCAUGA